rnacentral:lncRNA from 1 species
AUGCAAGCCCUUUAUCAGAUAUAUAUUAUGCAACUACUUUCUCUAGAUUGUGACUUAUAUUUUUGUUUCUUAAUGGUGUCUUUCUAAAAGAAAAUGUUCUUAAUUUUUAUGAAGUCCAAUUUAUUAAUUUUUUUCUUUUAUAGAUUUUACUUUUAUGGCACAUCUAAGAAAUCUUUGCCUAACUUAGGUUUUAUAGUUUUAUCUCUUACAUUUAAGACUUUGAUCCAUUUUAAGAUAAUUUUUGUGCAUGGUGUGAAGUAAGGGUCAAAGUUUAUUUUUUUCCAUAUGAAUGAUGAAAUUAUUUAUGAUUCCCUUUUCAAUGACUGAAAAAAAGAGAUUCAAGGAGGUCAAGUAAGAAGCCCCAAAGCACAGAUUAUAAGAGACUGCGCUGCACUUGAACUCAGAUCUCCUGAUUCCAAAUAAAGUACUAUUUGCAGGCCCCCUGAAUUUGCUGAGGUGCCUACAUUUUCUUUAAGAUUGUGGUAAGAGUAGCUUGGAGGCAGACUAACCUUAUUUCAAGUCCUGGCUCCAUUUCUUACUCUGGGCAAGUUACUUAGAACUUUUAAGCCUCCCUUUUUUUCCAUUUGUAAUAUGGCACUAAUAAGAGUACCUCCCUCAUAAGAGUGAGAGCAUUCUUUAAAACAAUGCAUAUAAAGUGCUUACCAUGAGUCUAGUAUUUAGCAGGUGCUUCAUACAAGUUAGUGUGUUGGGAUGACUUUUCUUACCCCUCAGCUCUUGUCUCAAUUGGAGACCAUACCCAGCCGCUUCUGAGCCAUGGCACACUCCCAACAGGUAUAGCAGGAGAUGUGGAGAAAACUGAGAAAAGAGGCAGACACUUUCUACCAUAAUAAUCCAGUGGGGUUGUACUGGGUGAGUUGUUUGGCCUCAACAAUAGUACACUGCAUGUGUCUAAUAGGCAUUCCACCUUGAAGCUAUUUUGCUGACUUUUCCUAUCCUCAUCCACCAAGCUAGAGCUGCACAAGGUGUAGACAUUACAAGCUGUGAUGGACCCACCCCAAGAUGGUCCCCCAACCAUCCUUGCCUUCUGGUAUUCACAUCCUGUAUAAUCCCUCCAGUGACUUGCUUCCAACCAAAAGAACUGACGACAAAAGUAAUGGAUGUCAAGACUCCAAUUACAAGAGCUUCUAACACCAGUUUUGCAAACAAGACUCUGUCCAGCAGGCUUUAGUAAAGCAAGUGGCCAUGAUCAGAAGGUUCAUGCAGCAAAGAAAUGAAGGCAGAAUUCUAUAAAAAAACAGCUAGAACCUGGGGGUAGCUUUCAUGUAUCAGCCAGCAAGAAACUGAGGCUCUUAAUCCAACAGGCCAUAAGAAAAAGAAACAGAAGAUGAGCGUAAAGAGCAAAGGAGGUCAAAGACCUGGGGAAGGAGUCCAAUAGGGGGUCCCUUUAUGUGAGCUGAGGAGUCCCCUAUCGUUUCAAAUAUGCUCAGUGAUGCACACAGAAAUUCCAGCAGGCCUAGGACUUUCUGGACCACUCUUGGGUAAAUGCAAGUCCUACCAUCACCUUAAGUAGCAAACAUGGCCUCAGCCGGGUACUUAUGACGCCUACCCCCUUGUGGUAAUCAAGUGGACUGUAAAUGAGACUGGGGGUUUCUCUUUCUCCUUUGCUUCAGUAGGGCCAGGCAUGUGCCAGCCUCCUGCCUUCUAAACAGAGGCAUGGGGGGAACUUUUCAUUUCUUUCUCUACUUCUCUUUACUCAGACUACUAACCAUGGCUUCUGCUCUCCCCAGUCUUGGAGUACGGAAAGGGAUGGAUGGGAGAGACUUAUUCAUCUGACACUGCUAUAAGAUGACUCUGGGCUCUAUGGGCCUGGCAGAGGUGUAUACUGGUUCUUUAUUUUCUGAGCACUUUGUGGGUUCUUCUGGGGGCUCUUCAGCUGAGUCCCUCUGUCUGCUAUUCUCCUAAUUCAGGCAAAAUUCCUCUUUCAUAUGAAUGUUCCCCACCUUCCUUCUCAGCUUCAGUUUAUUUUCUGAAAGGCUAUAUCAUACAGGCUCUCUGCAGGAGUGACUUGCUUUCUGGAAGAAGCUCUUUGGGAAAAGAUUCCUUUCUAUUUUAUUAUUUAUUUAUAUUUUUGGCCGCAUCCAUGGCAUGCAGAAAUUCCAGGGCCAUGGAUCAGGCACAAGCCACAAUAGUGACAAUGCCACAUCCUUAACCUGCUGCACCACCAAGGAAACUCCAAGAUUCCUCUUUAGAUAGCUCUAUGCAAACGUUUCUACCAUGGAUUCCAUAUUUGGCUCUCUGUGUCCCUGGACCUUUCACCUCCAAUAGUGGAGACAGAAGUUUCUCCCAAUAUAGCAGCAAUUCCAUUUCCUUCUGCCUUGCCAUCUCCACCUAGAAAUUCAUCACAUUUCUCAAGUGUGUAUGAAACAUUAGUCAGUCAUGCCCACUUUAUUUCCAAGGGACAUAUAACAAUGUGUCAAGUGAUCUUCUGGCAAAGUUCUGACCUUACACUUGAGGUAAGGGGUAAACCACCCACCACCUCUGCCUCUGGAAGGUUAAGUCUUACCAAAUAGCAUCCAAUCAAUGUAAAGAUGGUUUUUCACAAAUGCUUCUUCAAAAUCUACUCUUAAUCAUUUGGUGUCUCCAAAAUGGUUAUUUUUUUAUUGUAUUUUGGUUUAUUAUCUUACUUUGGAAUUUCAUUCCUAUUAUAUUGUGGAGUUUCCACUGAAAUGGUCUCAAUUUAAAAUCCUGUUAUGUGAUAUUCCCAGUCUGGUAGUCUCUUCGACAGCGAUCCCUCUUUCUUCCUGGGCUGACUCGAGUGAAGAGACCUAAGCUAAGCUGACCGUUUGGCAAAUAUCAGAUUCCUUUUGGUUGAUAGCCUCUGGUGGUUAGAGGGAGAAAGAGGUACAGUAGUCCUGUUCUAGCAACCUUGUUCUAUGGUGGUAUUUUCAAUUAAAAACAAGUCUCAGACAAAAUUCACCAAGCAUACAGAUAUUUAUUACCAAGCAGGCAAACAACCAUCUGGGUCUAAGGAGAGACUACCCUUCUUUCUACCUUUAGGUUCCCCAGAAAGCCCCUUGCAAGAGCAGUUCCCUCAGAAAUGGAUGCUCUUAAACCCUAAUCAGUGGCCUCAUCACCAGACCAGGUGGUGGGCUCCUCCACGGGAAGAUGCAGGCCAAGGGGCUCUGGAACUUCCACUUCUGGUGUUGCUCUCUGAGCAUAUGAGACUCUCCUACUGUAUUCACGCACAGGUUGUGGGUCUUGUCACCCCACUUCUAACAGAUCUUCAACAAUUUAUUUCACCAAUAAAAAUUACUCAUAACAUUCCUUAUGUUAAUUAACUAACCCAAAGGUAAUCAUUCAGAUAAGGGCUCUUCACAUACUAAUUAACCACUCAUUCCUAGAGUGCUGAUUAGUAUUAACUUGCACACAUACACAUCACUAUUUACGCUGAAGUAUUUUAAGGUAAUUACCAUGUACACAACAUAGCACUAACUUAAACCUGAUUUCGUUUGGGUUGCCAAGUACUUAGCCGUGAGAGAAGAAUCAUGAUUGCUUCUGCUAAUUUAAUCAUGGCAAACUCAGCUUUUUUUUUGUCAGAUAAUCUCCAGACUCUCCUUGUGGCCACAUGAUUGAGUACCGCUCUCUGAAAUGGAAUGAGAAAUAUGCUGAGAAAUACUUUCCUCCCUGAUAAAGAGAGAGACACACAUGAGGCAGUUUCUCAACAUCUUGACUGCUUUUGUUUCUAUCUUUUAUGUGGUCAGAAGAAAAUGUGAUGCUUGUAGCUAAGGCAGCUACCUUGCAAUCAUGAGGCCUCCAGGAUGAGGGUGAACAACUAAAAUGCUGAGGAUGGCAGGAUGGAAAGGGCUGGGUUCUAAUGAUCUUGCUGAAUUAUCAACCUUCCUUGGAACUUCUACUUUGUUUUGCUAAGAAAUAAAUCUAUGAUUUAGUUGUUGUUAGGUUUUCUGUGAUUUUUAACCCAAUAUAUAAAGAUGUAAAGGAGAGAUCUUUCCUAAACAAUGAGUGUCCUAAGUCCUCUCUCUCUCUCUCACACACACACACACACUCGCUUUCCUCCCAUUCCCAAGGCUAAAGCCCUAUCUUCCUCAAAAAGUUAUUGCAAGUCUAUCAUUUCAGAGUGUCUGGUCAGUUCUAGCCUCAGUUUCUUCAUCUCUGAAAUAAGAAAAAUAGUGUCUUCUCUAGAGAUCCCCUGGGCUUAGAAUAAUAAUAAGGUAGUUUAAAUGAGAGAUGAUUUGGGAUGGUGUUUAAAAAAGCAAGUACUCAGGAGAUAGACUGCCUGGAUUAAAAAUUGCAGUUCCACUACUUGUAAACCAAAUGAGCAAAUUAUUUCUCUGUGCCUCAGUUUCCUAAUCUGCAAAGCGAGGAUAAAAAUAAUAACAUGUUUCAAAAAGCUUUGUUAGGCUUUAAUGAGUAAUACAUGUAAGGCACUUAGUAAAAGCAACCAACCAAAGUAAGCACCAUACAAGUAUUAGCUAUCAUCAUCAUAGUCAUUAUUAUUACAUCUGAAAGGCUUUGAAAAAUUUAAGUGCACUAUGUGAAAGCCUAUGUAGAUAAUGAUAACACUGAUCACCCCAAGUUAAGAAUAAAGGACUAUUAGUGAAACCAACAGCACUUACAAUUAGAGGGAAAGAGGAAAGAAAAGAGCAGCUAAGAAAACAAAAGAAAGGGAGGAGAAGGGAGAAGAAGGUUGGGAAGUCAGAAGAAAAGGAAGAGAAGAGGAGAGAAAAUGCAUGAGAAGUGGAAUUGCAGAGUAGAAAUAAGGGCUACAUGACAAGCACAGGAAGAAACCACUCAUUUUCUUUACAGCAGGCAUCAUGUAACUUUGGGAGAACAUCAUUCAGAAUGUACCAUUUCCCACAGAGAAUAAUGUAGCUUACUCACAAUUUCAUCAGUUGUGCCCAAGCUGCAUUAAAAGCCCUUCACCUUAAGGCACUGCCAUGUGGUGUCAUUAUUUCCAUGCCAAACAAAAUCUUUCCCAGGAAACAGAACAGCAAAAGUAAGUGAAAUGUCCAUAAUGCAGUGAGAAAUUCAGGGUCGCUAAGCAUUCCACAUUUGUGAGACUGUCCUGUGUUUGAGAUUCCCACCCUGGUGGCGCCCACGGGGUCCUAUUUUUGAACAAAGAACCAAGCAUCAGCAUGUGUAGCUUGCAUGUGGGGUCCAGAUGCCUCAUUUCCUGGCUCCUGGUACACACUAA